GCCCCCUUAGCUCAGGGGAUAGAGCACCGGCCUCCGGAGCCGGUGGCGCAGGUUCGAAUCCUGCAGGGGGCA
rnacentral:tRNA from 1 species